UGCAAUGAGAUAAAGAGAAACACAUCCAGAAUGUGUGACAUCAGUAUAAAGAGGGGAGUCUUUGCUUGUGUUAAUGACUUUAAAUCUGACUGCUUCAUUCAUCCAUUCAAACCCUCUGCUCAUCAUGUGGAGUCCUUCACUGUUGCUAAGGAAGAACCAGACAUGGUGUCCGAACCUGUAAUGGAAAGCUCAGUGCAUGUGUCUGCAGGAGGAUCAGUUAAUCUGACGUGCAUCUUUACAACAAAGAAAGAUUAUUCCCCAUCAGCCUUUUGUGGUGUACUGGAUUAAGGCUGGUGCUGAGAGCAGCACAUGUGUGUACUCACAUCAUUACUCUUCAUAUGAUGAUGGUGGUUUUGAUGGACACUGUUCUAUUGACAAAGAUCUUCUGUUAAGGAGAUCAUACACAUCCCACCCUUCUCUCACUGAUACCAAGACCCAUAACCUGAUGAUCAGCAGUGCCACUCACUCAGACAGUGGACAGUAUGUGUGUGCCUUACAAGUGAACAAGAACCAGCAGUACUGGAGAGUAAUCACCAACACUACAGUCACUGUGGGUGAUCCAGUCAAACCUGUGCACACAGUUUCCCUGCUACGUGGGAGUGUGAUUGAGGUCCUGCUGGUUAUUGGUGUCGCUCUCCUGGUUGGGUUUGA